rfam:Sistotremastrum suecicum HHB10207 ss-3 unplaced genomic scaffold SISSTscaffold_7, whole genome shotgun sequence.
GCCUCCGUGGCCUAAUGGUUAAGGCGCACGCCUUCUAUCAUGCGAAUAGCGUGAGAUUGCGAGUUCGAGUCUCGCCGGUGGUA